GUCCACGCCGUAAACGAUGUCAACUAGCCGUUGGGUUCCUUGAGAACUUAGUGGCGCAGCUAACGCAUUAAGUUGACCGCCUGGGGAGUACGGCCGCAAGGUUAAAACUCAAAUGAAUUGACGGGGGCCCGCACAAGCGGUGGAGCAUGUGGUUUAAUUCGAAGCAACGCGAAGAACCUUACCAGGCCUUGACAUGCAGAGAACUUUCCAGAGAUGGAUUGGUGCCUUCGGGAACUCUGACACAGGUGCUGCAUGGCUGUCGU
rnacentral:rRNA from 1 species